AAUGAACGCUGGCGGCAUGCCUAACACAUGCAAGUCGAACGAAGGCUUCGGCCUUAGUGGCGCACGGGUGCGUAACGCGUGGGAAUCUGCCCUCAGGUUCGGAAUAACAGCGAGAAAUUGCUGCUAAUACCGGAUGAUAUCGCGAGAUCAAAGAUUUAUCGCCUGAGGAUGAGCCCGCGUAGGAUUAGCUAGUUGGUGUGGUAAAGGCGCACCAAGGCGACGAUCCUUAGCUGGUCUGAGAGGAUGAUCAGCCACACUGGGACUGAGACACGGCCCAGACUCCUACGGGAGGCAGCAGUGGGGAAUAUUGGACAAUGGGCGAAGGCCUGAUCCAGCAAUGCCGCGUGAGUGAUGAAGGCCUUAGGGUUGUAAAGCUCUUUUACCCGGGAUGAUAAUGACAGUACCGGGAGAAUAAGCUCCGGCUAACUCCGUGCCAGCAGCCGCGGUAA
rnacentral:rRNA from 1 species